rnacentral:rRNA from 1 species
GACAGAGGAUGCAAGCGUUAUCCGGAAUGAUUGGGCGUAAAGCGUCUGUAGGUGGCUUUUUAAGUCCGCCGUCAAAUCCCAGGGCUCAACCCUGGACAGGCGGUGGAAACUACCAAGCUGGAGUACGGUAGGGGCAGAGGGAAUUUCCGGUGGAGCGGUGAAAUGCGUAGAGAUCGGAAAGAACACCAACGGCGAAAGCACUCCGCUGGGCUGAUACUGACACUGACAGACGAAAGCUAGGGUAGCGAAAGGG